rnacentral:tRNA from 1 species
GGGGUUGUGGCUCAGCGGUAGAGUGCUCGCCUUGCAAGUGAGAGGCCCUGGGUUUGAUUCCCAGCACCA